CCCUGGAAUUGUCUGAUAUGUCACCUCCUAGUCACAGCUCUCCUAAGCCAGCAGAAGGUCAGAGAAGUUUGGGGCUCAGCUCAGGGAUACUUGUUGGCGAAUGCCUCCACCAAGUGGCCAUUGCACAUUCUUAGGGUAAAUCACAGAGAAGGAAAACCAAGCCAGCAAGCAUGCCUGAGAUGUUCACUAAUAGUAGGCCAGAGCAUCUCCAUCUAAAGCAUAUUGCUUGACCAAGCCGGGCAUGGCUGAGGUGCAGUAUCCUGAACUUAACAAAACAAAAAUAAACGAACAAACAGAAAGACAAAGCAAAACAAAACAAAUUUAAAGACAAGUUGCUGUCACCAUGACUUUCCCACUUGAAAAAGCACCUUAAAAAUUAGAGGUCUCUCCAUCCUGCCUGGAGGCCUGUAGAUGAAGAUGUAGACCUCUUCACUUCUCUUGCACCAUGUCU